CAAUUAAAGAUAAAUUUUCUUUAUUGUGUAUCGAGGCAAAAUGCUUUUGCUGCAGUAAUAUAGGUAUUUGCAAUAAAUCUUUCAGGCUUAAAUUAUUGGCUUCUGUUUCCCACAUUUAAACAAACUCACAAUCUCACAAAGUAUUGUUCUCUUAAGAUAAUUCUGUUAACAAAAAAGGAAUAUUAAUUUGACAUAUCCUUUUUUGAAGUGUUACCUUUGCCCUGGGUUUUCAUACCAUAUUCUAGAAGGUAUAAUAUAGUCAAGAAUGCUUUGAACAAGUGAAACUAUAAUCCUGCCAAAUGUAAAGUCAGCAUAUAUUUUAAAUUUUCUUUCAUAAUCAACAGUAUCACAUGCAACCGGGAACAAAAGCUGCAGGGAACAAAGUGUAAUGGAUCGUGAUGACUGUUUUAGAACAGCUUGAACCUCCUUACAGCCUACAAGAAGGCUAUGUGAGCUGAAUUCAGAAGUGCUGAAAAUGGAUUUUACUGCAAGCUACACAGUUUCGGGGACAAAUAUGCUUUUUUUCAAAUAUGCUUUUUUAUAACUUAUAACUAUAGGAAGAUUCUCAAGCAAAAGGAUCAUAUCAUGCCAAUGAAAAGAUGGUUUAUUCCCUCACAUCCUUCCAUUUUAUGUAUUUUUUUAAUACAAAGCACACACAUAAUUACACACAGAAUGAUUUCUAAAUCAAUAUGUUUUGUUCCAAUUGCUCACCAUUAAUGCAAUAAAUUGCAUUUUCUGUCAUUUUACUAUGUGCUCUUGUUCCUGAGUGGUGUGAAGGGAAUUAUUACUGUUAUAGCAAAUAAAUUAGAUUUCAAUGCUUUGAGGCAAAACAGAGGUCAAAGAGUGAUUUUGGAUUCAUUGUCUCCAUCUUCUAAAUGUAUCAUACUUACAUUUGAAAUAACUGUAUUAAGCACAGAAAGGAGGAAAGAAAACAGUAUGACUCUUUUAAAGAGAAAAUCCAAUGUGUUUCUGAUUAUUGGGUGGGGAGUGCUCUUUGCUGCUUCUAGGUGAAGAGUCAGAUCCUAGGCAUGCCUCAGGCACAUAUGAGCUAAAGCCAGGAAGAACAAAGGGAACUGGGGCCAAGACUUCUCUCUAUAUACCCUGCUAGAUAAUAUUCUUUGCAGCCAAAGAUGGAGAAGCUCUAUACAGUCAACAAAAACAAGACCAGGAGAUGACUGUCGCUCAGAUCAUGAACUCCUUAUUACCAAAUUCAGACUUAAAUUGAAGAAAGUAGGGAAAACUGCUAGACCAUUCAGGUAUGACCUAAAUCAAAUCCCUUAUGAUUAUACGGUGGAAGUGAGAAACAGAUUUAAGGGCCUAG
rnacentral:lncRNA from 1 species